GACGAACGCUGGCGGCGUGCUUAACACAUGCAAGUCGAACGGAAAGGCCCUGCUUUUGUGGGGUGCUCGAGUGGCGAACGGGUGAGUAACACGUGAGUAACCUGCCCUUGACUUUGGGAUAACUUCAGGAAACUGGGGCUAAUACCGGAUAGGAGCUCCUGCUGCAUGGUGGGGGUUGGAAAGUUUCGGCGGUUGGGGAUGGACUCGCGGCUUAUCAGCUUGUUGGUGGGGUAGUGGCUUACCAAGGCUUUGACGGGUAGCCGGCCUGAGAGGGUGACCGGCCACAUUGGGACUGAGAUACGACCCAGACUCCUACGGGAGGCAGCAGUGGGGAAUAUUGCACAAUGGGCGGAAGCCUGAUGCAACAACGCCGCGUGCGGGAUGACGGCCUUCGGGUUGUAAACCGCUUUCGCCUGUGACGAAGCGUGAGUGACGGUAAUGGGUAAAGAAGCACCGGCUAACUACGUG
rnacentral:rRNA from 1 species